rnacentral:rRNA from 1 species
CAGCAGGCGCGAAAACUCUACAAUGCAGGCAACUGCGAUAGGGGGACAUCGAGUGGCAUCCACCUUGGGUGCCUGUCCAACCGUCUAAAAAACGGUUGUUAGCAAGGGCCGGGUAAGACCGGUGCCAGCCGCCGCGGUAAUACCGGCGGCUCGAGUGGUGGCCGAUAUUAUUGAGUCUAAAGGGUCCGUAGCCGGCUUUGCAAGUCCCCUGGGAAAUCCAGCGGCUUAACCGUUGGGCUUUCAUGGGAUACUACAUUGCUUGGGACUGGGAGAGGUAGGAGGUACUCGGGGGGUAGGGGUGAAAUCCUGUAAUCCUCCGGGGACCACCGGUGGCGAAGGCGUCCUACCAGAACAGGUCCGACGGUGAGGGACGAAAGCUAGGGGCACGAACCGGAUUAGAUACCCGGGUAGUCCUAGCCGUAAACGAUGCCCGCUAGGUGUCACGACGGUCGUGAAUCGUCGUGGUGCCGUAGGGAAGCCGCGAAGCGGGCCACUUGGGAAGUACGGCCGCAAGGCUGAAACUUAAAGGAAUUGGCGGGGGAGCAC